rnacentral:rRNA from 1 species
GAUGAACGCUAGCGGCAGGCCUAACACAUGCAAGUCGAGGGAGGAGCUUUCGGGCUUCGACCGGCGUACGGGUGCGUAACGCGUAUACAAUCUGCCUUUCACAUAGGGAUAGCCCGAAGAAAUUUGGAUUAAUACCUAAUGGUAUAUAGGAGUGGCAUCACAUUUAUAUUAAAGCUGAGGCGGUGAAAGAUGAGUAUGCGUUCUAUUAGCUAGUUGGAGAGGUAACGGCUCCCCAAGGCGACGAUAGAUAGGGGUUCUGAGAGGGAUAUCCCCCACACUGGUACUGAGAUACGGACCAGACUCCUACGGGAGGCAGCAGUGAGGAAUAUUGGACAAUGGUCGGAAGACUGAUCCAGCCAUGCCGCGUGCAGGAAGACGGCCUUAUGGGUUGUAAACUGCUUUUGCAGGGGAAGAAUAAGGACUACGCGUAGUUUGAUGACGGUACUCUGCGAAUAAGCAUCGGCUAACUCCGUGCCAGCAGCCGCGGUAAUACGGAGGAUGCGAGCGUUAUCCGGAAUCAUUGGGUUUAAAGGGUCCGUAGGCGGGCUAAUAAGUCAGAGGUGAAAGCGCUCAGCUCAACUGAGCAACUGCCUUUGAAACUGUUAGUCUUGAAUGGUUGUGAAGUAGUUGGAAUGUGUAGUGUAGCGGUGAAAUGCUUAGAUAUCAUGAAGAACUCCGAUUGCGAAGGCAGCAUACGGGAGUGUAACUGACGCUUAAGCUCGAAGGUGCGGGUAUCGAACAGG